GAGAUUUCACACAUCAAUUUAUUAGGAGUAAAAAAAACUAAACAGGACCUGAAGAAAUAUUUUCUCACUGUCCUUUUAAAUAUAGUGUAAUCAACCACAAGAGAUUUGAAAACUUAAAUUAUUCCCAGGGCUUGGCUUGUUAAGGUGUUCUGAAUGUUAAUGAGCCCUGGGGCACUGAAUUCCUGCACUGAAGAGCUGAAGGCUGAAGAAGCCUCUGGAGCAGUAAAAUUCAGCAGCAGCCUCCAAGUUGCUGAGGAUGUCAGCAGCCCCCACUGAGGCCAUCCCUGCCCAGAGACCCUGGGGGAAUGGGCAGACAAGGAGAGCGUCCCUGGGGCUGGGGCAGCAGAACUCAGAGGCACCAGCGGCUCCAGCUGGGAAAUGGAGUGUGGGAUGGGGCUGUGAAAGCCCUGCCUGGGCUGUGCCAAGCAGGACACACAAGCCCUGACCCCCAUCCCCUAAAAAACUCUCUCAAUGGGACAUUUAAAAGGAAUUACAAUUGGUUCUGUCCUCUGAAUUGGAUGCACUGGAGAAAUACCAACAAGAGAUUCUCAGGAGCUCAAAACAAUAAAACAUCCUUUCUGGCAACAUAGAAGAUAAGAGAAACUUUGGGAAAAGGUUUAAUAGGUCAUUAAAUCAACAAAAAACAUUUCUCAAAGCAUUAAUCCUCGGAUGUAGGGAGUUUUGGAGGUGGAAUCCCAGUUUUGGCCAUGACAGGAUGAAUGAUUUUUUCCUAUAGGAAAGAGAAGUGCAAGUCCAAGUGUUCUGGAAGAAGAUGAGAGGUGGGCACCCUUAGGCCAAGCCAGCCAGACCUGACUCUCCUGAUACCUUUCAUCUAGGGGCUAUCCUUGGACACAGGGCAUUUUGGAGGUGGAAUCUCAAUUUUGGCUGUGGGUUCCUGGAUAGGAAGAAUUAUUUACAUUAGGAAGAAAAGAACAGAGCCCCGGUGUUUCAGAGGCACAUGAAUGCCAGCCCUCAGGAAGCCAAGGCCAGCCAGACUUGUCAGUCCUGGCAGCUUCUGUCUGGGAGCUAUCCUUGGAUAUAGGGAAUUCUGGAGGCAGAUCCUCAGUUUUGGCCAUGGGUGCCUGGUGGAGAUGGAUGGUUUUUUUCUCAUAAGAAAGAAAAGCACACGGUCCCAGUGUCUGAAAGGCAGAUAAGAGGUGACCCUUGGGUGGUCAAGGCAGCCAGACCUGUCUCUCCUGGCAGAUUUCAUCUGGGAACAAUCCUUUUACAUAAGGAAAUUUGGAGAAGAAAUCCCAGUUUUGGCCCUGGUUCCCUGGAGGAGAAGGACAGUUCUCUCCCAUGGGAAGGAAAGCCCAGAUCCCCAGUGCUUCAGGGGCAGAUGAGAAGCAGCCCUUGACAUGCCA
rnacentral:lncRNA from 1 species